rnacentral:misc_RNA from 1 species
GCACCUACCGAUUGAAUGGUUCGGUGAAAAUCUCGGACUGCGGCUUGGAUGCCUUCGGGCAACCAAGCUGUGGAAAGUUGUUUAAACCUCAUCAUUUAGAGGAAGGUGGAGUCGUAACAAGGUUUCCGUAGGUGAACCUGCAGAAGGAUCAAGAUCGGAAAAACGUCGGGGAAGGGAAGAGGUUAAAAUCCGGGGGGUGCCGUAACAUUAAAAAAAAAAAAAAAAAAAGUCUAGAGACAACAUCACCACGUAACAAAACAAGACGUGUAGACGUAGG